UAAGGAAUAUUGCUCAAUGGGAGAAAUCCUGAAGCAGCAACGCCGCGUGGAGGAUGAAGGGUUUUUAACUUGUAAACUCCUGUAAAGAAGGAAAAAAUUCCCAUUAGAUGGGAAAUGAUGGUACUUCUGGAGUAAGCCCCGGCUAACUACGUGCCAGCAGCCGCGGUAAUACGUAGGGGGCAAGCGUUGUCCGGAUUUACUGGGUGUAAAGGGUGCUCAGGCGGAUUUGUAAGUCAGAGGUGAAAUCUCACAGCUUAACUGUGAAACUGCCCUUGAUACUGCAAGCCUAGGGUAUGGAAGAGAGUGAUGGAAUAUCUGGUGUAGCAGUGAAAUGCGUAGAUAUCAGAUAGAACACCAAUGGCGAAGGCAGUCACUUGGUCCAUAACUGACGUUAAAGCACGAAAAGCGUGGGUAGCAAAACAGGAUUAGAUACCCUGGUAGUCCACGCCCUAAAACGAUGAAUACUAGAUGUUGGCUUCGCAUGAAGUCAGUAUCUGAGCUAACGCAUUAAGUAUUCCACCUGGGAAGUACGAUCGCAAGGUUG
rnacentral:rRNA from 1 species